rnacentral:rRNA from 1 species
GACUGCGUACCUUUUGUAUAAUGGGUCAGCGACUUACUGUUCGUGGCAAGCUUAACCGUAUAGGGGAGGCGAAGGGAAACCGAGUCUGAUAAGGGCGCAUAGUCGCGGGCAGUAGACCCGAAACCGGGUGAUCUAGUCAUGCCCAGGGUGAAGGUGCGGUAACACGCACUGGAGGCCCGAACCCACUCCCGUUGCAAAGGUAGGGGAUGAGGUGUGAUUAGGAGUGAAAAGCUAAUCGAACCCGGAGAUAGCUGGUUCUCCUCGAAAGCUAUUUAGGUAGCGCCUCGAGCGAAUACC